rnacentral:rRNA from 1 species
AUUGAACGCUGGCGGCAGGCCUAACACAUGCAAGUCGAGCGGAGCGGCGGACGGGUGAGUAAUGCCUAGGAAUCUGCCUGGUAGUGGGGGCUAACGUCAGGAAACGGGCGCUGAUACCGCAUACUAUAAGACGAGCCAAGGUCGGAUUAACUAGUUGGUGGGGUAAAGGCCUACCAAGGAGACGAUCCGGAACUGGUCUGAGAGGAUGAUCAGUCACACGGGAACUUAGAUACGGUCCAGACUCCUACGGGAGGCAGCAGUGGGGUAUAUUGGACAAUGGGCGAAAGCCUGAUCCAGCCAUGCCGCUUGUGUUAAGAAGGUCUUCGGAUUGUAAAGCCCUUUCAGUUGGGAGGCGUUACCAACAGAAUAAGCACAGGCGAACUUCGUGCCAGCAGCCGCGGUAAUAC